rnacentral:rRNA from 1 species
GUUGAACGCUGGCGGCAUGCUUUACACAUGCAAGUCGAACGGUAACAGGCCGCAAGGUGCUGACGAGUGGCGAACGGGUGAGUAAUGCAUCGGAACGUGCCCAGUCGUGGGGGAUAACGCAGCGAAAGUUGCGCUAAUACCGCAUACGAUCUAUGGAUGAAAGCGGGGGACCGUAAGGCCUCGCGCGAUUGGAGCGGCCGAUGUCAGAUUAGGUAGUUGGUGGGGUAAAGGCUCACCAAGCCAACGAUCUGUAGCUGGUCUGAGAGGACGGCCAGCCACACUGGGACGGAGACACGGCCCAGACUCCUACGGGAGGCAGCAGUGGGGAAUUUUGGACAAUGGGGGCAACCCUGAUCCAGCAAUGCCGCGUGCAGGAAGAAGGCCUUCGGGUUGUAAACUGCUUUUGUACGGAACGAAACGGUCUGGGUUAAUACCCUGGGCUAAUGACGGUACCGUAAGAAUAAGCACCGGCUAACUACGUGCCAGCCGCCGCCGUAACAC